CUCUUCUCCUUCCCAUAAAAAUAAAGUCAUCAGAAUGAGGAAUAAAGAACCCAAGGCAGGAAAAGAUAAUCUGUAAAGAAUGACAGCAAUCAAGCAGAGCAAGGCUGAGCUGAACCGAGUUAAUGGUAGUUCUAGAGAUACAGUGAUGAG